CCUACGGGAGGCAGCAGUGAGGAAUAUUGGUCAAUGGACGAGAGUCUGAACCAGCAAAGUAGCGUGAAGGAUGACUGCCCUAUGGGUUGUAAACUUCUUUUAUAUGGGAGUAAAAUGUUCCACGUGUGGGAUUUUGUAUGUACCAUCUGAAUAAGGAUCGGCUAACUCCGUGCCAGCAGCCGCGGUAAUACGGAGGAUCCGAGCGUUAUCCGGAUUUAUUGGGUUUAAAGGGAGCGUAGGUGGAUUGUUAAGUCAGUUGUGAAAGUUUGCGGCUUAACCGUAAAAUUGCAGUUGAAACUGGCAGUCUUGAGUGCAGUAGAGGUAGGCGGAAUUCGUGGUGUAGCGGUGAAAUGCGUAGAUAUCACGAAGAACUCCGAUUGCGAAGGCAGUUCACUGGACUGCAACUGACACUGAGGCUCGAAAGUGUGGGUAUCAAACAGGAUUAGAUACCCUAGUAGUC
rnacentral:rRNA from 1 species